GUUCACUUCAAGCAGCAAGAAGCGUCAGAUUUACCUCGACUGUUUGAACCCAAUUCAAGGAUGUAUACAACCUUGCAAUCUGGUCCUCCUCUCUGGUUCUAUACUCG